rnacentral:rRNA from 1 species
AGUCGACGCUUUGUGGUCCAACUGAUUUGAAGAGCUUGCUCAGAUAUGACGAUGGACAUUGCAAAGAGUGGCGAACGGGUGAGUAACACGUGGGAAACCUACCUCUUAGCAGGGGAUAACACUUGGAAACAAGUGCUAAUACCGUAUAACACUAAUAACCGCAUGGUUAUUAGUUAAAAGAUGGUCUUGCUAUCACUAAGAGAUGGUCCCGCGGUGUAUUAGCUAGUUGGUAAGGUAAUGGCUUACCAAGGCAAUGAUACAUAGCCGAGUUGAGAGACUGAUCGGCCACAAUGGGACUGAGACACGGCCCAUACUCCUACGGGAGGCAGCAGUAGGGAAUCUUCCACAAUGGACGAAAGUCUGAUGGAGCAACGCCGCGUGUGUGAUGAAGGGUUUCGGCUCGUAAAACACUGUUGUAAGAGAAGAAUGACAUUGAGAGUAACUGUUCAGUGUGUGACGGUAUCUUACCAGAAAGGAACGGCUAAAUACGUGCCAGCAGCCGCGGUAAUACGUAUGUUCCAAGCGUUAUCCGGAUUUAUUGGGCGUAAAGCGAGCGCAGACGGUUAUUUAAGUCCGAAGUGAAAGCCCACAGCUUAACUGUGGAAGUGCUUUGGAAACUGGAUAACUUGAGUGCAGUAGAGGAGAGUGGAACUCCAUGUGUAGCGGUGAAAUGCGUAGAUAUAUGGAAGAACACCAGUGGCGAAGGCGGCUCUCUGGACUGUAACUGACGUUGAGGCUCGAAAGUGUGGGUAGCAAACAGGAUUAGAUACCCUGGUAGUCCACACCGUAAACGAUGAGUG